UGCAUGGCCGUCGCCAGCUCGUGCCGUGAGAUGUCCUGUUAAGUCAGGUAANCGAGCGAGAUCCCUGCCUCUAGUUGCCACCAUUACUCUCAGGAGUAGUGGGGCGAAUUAGCGGGACCGCCGCAGUUAAUGCGGAGGAAGGAAGGGGCCACGGCAGGUCAGUAUGCCCCGAAACUCUGGGGCCACACGCGGGCUGCAAUGGUAGCGACAAUUGGUUUCGAAUCCGAAAGGAUGAGGUAAUCCACAAACGCUACCACAGUUAUGACUGAGGGCUGCAACUCGCCCUCACGAAUAUGGAAUCCCUAGUAACUGCGUGUCAUUAUCGCGCGGUGAAUACGUCCCUGCUCCUUGCACACACCGCCCGUCGUUUCAUUGAAGUGAGCUUUUAGCGAGGUGACGUCUGAUUGGCGUUAUCGAACUUGAGGUUCGUGACAAGGGAAAAGUCGUAACAAGGU
rnacentral:rRNA from 1 species